rnacentral:rRNA from 1 species
CCUACGGGUGGCAGCAGUGGGGAAUAUUGGACAAUGGGCGAAAGCCUGAUCCAGCCAUGCCGCGUGUGUGAAGAAGGCCUUCGGGUUGUAAAGCACUUUCAGAGGGGAAGAAAGCCUUGGGGCUAAUACCCUCGAGGAAGGACAUCACCCACAGAAGAAGCACCGGCUAACUCCGUGCCAGCAGCCGCGGUAAUACGGAGGGUGCGAGCGUUAAUCGGAAUUACUGGGCGUAAAGCGCGCGUAGGCGGUCUGAUAAGCCGGUUGUGAAAGCCCCGGGCUCAACCUGGGAACGGCAUCCGGAACUGUCAGGCUAGAGUGCAGGAGAGGAAGGUAGAAUUCCCGGUGUAGCGGUGAAAUGCGUAGAGAUCGGGAGGAAUACCAGUGGCGAAGGCGGCCUUCUGGACUGACACUGACGCUGAGGUGCGAAAGCGUGGGUAGCAAACAGGAUUAGAUACCCCGGUAGUC